rnacentral:tRNA from 1 species
CGGGGUGUAGCUCAGCCAGGUUAGAGCACUUGUUUUGGGAACAAGAGGCCGGCAGUUCGAAUCUGCCCACCCCGACCA